AUGACAAUUACGUGUCAUUGAAAAUGGUUACCUGUAAAAUAAAACGGCAUGGAAUCCAAAAAUCAAGUAAUUUUAAAUGGAGUUCUUGGAAAUUAAAUAAAACAUCAUUUGAAUUUACAGCAAACGCUCUGUAACAAAAAGGAGCAUGAUACUUGCCGUAGUUUUACAGGUCGAUGUAAUUUAUUUUCAAGUUAGCACAUAAUUUACAGGCUUGUUUGACAUUACAGGACUGAAAAAUUUUCGGUUUACAAUCAAAACAAAAGAAAAUAAGACAAACAGAAAAGAAAAUUUCGUGUCAGCAACUGUCCGUUUUGUUAAAUUGCUCUUGAAUAUCCGGAAAUCCAUCAGGUGGAGAAGCGUCACGAUAACAGUUGGCCACCAAAGCUGAAAAAGUGUCAUGUUUAAUAAAGAUGUAUCUGUCGGGAAAGGUGACCCAUUUUUUUAUCAAGCUACGCAGGUAAUCUUCAGAAUGGUGUUUGUGCCGAACAGCGAAGCUGGUGUUAAAUCUAAAAAAUUUUACUAUUGAGUUAGCAAUUUCUCAAUUUUCGUGAAAUUUGCUGAACUUGAGUAAAAUAAACCCAUUUGCUAGUUUCAGCAUUUCUAGUAGCAUAGACUCAAACUUUUAGUCCGUGCUCAAACCGUGGUUUGUUGGUGUGUUUUGUUUUGUUUUUUUUUCCGGUCAAAUGCAUUCGGUCGGCGUUGAUUUCGAAGCGGAAAAGGUGUUCGUUUUUUGUUUCCGGUGCGUGCAUGCAGAUCAAAUUGUGGCAGGUUCGAUGAGUUCCGUUUCUCACAGAUUCAUCAAGUCGAAUUGACCACAGGAAGAAGAAUGGUCGUGGCCAUUGUUAGUGGCUCUUCUCCCGAUGUGUCGCCAGAUUGUGGGAGUUCAAUUAACACUUUCCGGAUCAAAUUGGUCGACUAUCAUUCAGAGGCUGUGUUUUUGCUCAACAUGGGGAUUUGAUCAUAGCUCCGGCGGAUAAAAACGGAACAGCGAUAGUGAGUUUGAUAGAUACCAGCAAAAAUGAAAUAAAAAGAAUCUUCCGGGAGUACAAGAACGUUAAAAGUAUGGGAACUCUUCCUUUUCUUGUUCUCAUUCCGAUUUGCCGAGCGUGUUCUUGCGCCAUGGAAACACCGGCUGUGCGGGAAUUAAUCGGAGAAAAAGAUUGGUAGAUGUUUUACUCGGUUUGAAAGUUGAUUCCUUUUUUCCGUCCGUAGAACUUCUUCGGAGAUUGAAAGAAGGAUUCUGAAUCGUUAUGGCAACCUGCCGGACCUGGUCAAGAUGCAUAUUUUGGGCAACUUCUAGAACCGAAUCCUGUCAACAGCCGACAUCGAGUCAUAGGUUAACCAAUUUUGGACUGGCUGUUCCAGAGAGGGUCCUUGGUUAUUAAAGCUGGUGGAUCUGCGAUACGGGAUGGAAGCUGGAUUUUGGUGAUGGUCCUGAUAGGCUCGGAAAAAAUAUGAGAAAGCAGUUGUAGCUUUAAAAGUUGAACUUUAUGAAAUUUAUUGUUUACAAACGAUCAUCUCGUCAUCUCGAACUCAUGGACGGCGAAAAAGCUUCCGAAGUAAAAAGAAAUUCCUUCGUAAUUGAAAAUAAAAUUAAAAAUUGGA